UACGUAGGGUGCGAGCGUUAAUCGGAAUUACUGGGCGUAAAGCGUGCGCAGGCGGUUGGUUAAGUCUGAUGUGAAAGCCCCGGGCUCAACCUGGGAAUGGCAUUGGAAACUGGCUGGCUAGAGUGUGGCAGAGGGGGGUGGAAUUCCGCGUGUAGCAGUGAAAUGCGUAGAGAUGUGGAGGAACACCGAUGGCGAAGGCAGCCCCCUGGGCUAACACUGACGCUCAUGCACGAAAGCGUGGGGAGCAAACAGG
rnacentral:rRNA from 1 species